UCCACGACCUCCUCAUCUCAGCUAUGGACAGCACACCAUCAAGGCUGCUGCAUUGCAAUUGCAUGCUUCACUUUUAAAACGCGUGACACGCAUGCACCGUGUCUACCAGGGCAAACAAUGAAAGCAAAACGCCAAGUAUAUUCAAAGGCAAAACAAUUUUGAAGAAUCGAAAUGACGAUUUGAAAUUCUGGGUUGAUCCCCCCUUGAUGUGGAG
rnacentral:lncRNA from 1 species